rnacentral:piRNA from 1 species
CUGUCUAUAACUCCAGUUCCAGGGG